rnacentral:lncRNA from 1 species
GAGUAGCCUGUGUUUAUGCCUUCUCUGGGUCGUCAGUUGACGUUGAAGCGCUUUGUAUGUACUGAUCUAUUCCCAUUAUGAAUCCGAGGCGGAAAACCAAGGGAUAUACAGUCUUAUUAGUUGGCAAAGCAACCAAAUGGUAUGGUUUGAUUCGGAACAUAUAAACUGGUAUUUUUUUCUAGUCUUUUUUCUAAACAAAGACAAUGAAUUCUGGUUCAUCGUAAUUCAGGAUUGAAAAUUAAACGCAAAGCACAUUCUUUUCUUGUGUUAGGACAAUGAGCGAGACCUGAUUUGACCAUUUGAAGCUAAUGACAAAUACAAUGAUGGAUAAUAUCAACUGACAAAUCCCUAUUAACUACAGAGGAGAAAGUAAACCAAUG